rnacentral:rRNA from 1 species
AUUGAACGCUGGCGGCAGGCCUAACACAUGCAAGUCGAACGGUAACAGAAAGAAGCUUGCUUCUUUGCUGACGAGUGGCGGACGGGUGAGUAAUGUCUGGGAAACUGCCUGAUGGAGGGGGAUAACUACUGGAAACGGUAGCUAAUACCGCAUAACGUCGCAAGACCAAAGAGGGGGACCUUCGGGCCUCUUGCCAUCGGAUGUGCCCAGAUGGGAUUAGCUAGUAGGUGGGGUAACGGCUCACCUAGGCGACGAUCCCUAGCUGGUCUGAGAGGAUGACCAGCCACACUGGAACUGAGACACGGUCCAGACUCCUACGGGAGGCAGCAGUGGGGAAUAUUGCACAAUGGGCGCAGGCCUGAUGCAGCCAUGCCGCGUGUAUGAAGAAGGCCUUCGGGUUGUAAAGUACUUUCAGCGGGGAGGAAGGGAGUAAAGUUAAUACCUUUGCUCAUUGACGUUACCCGCAGAAGAAGCACCGGCUAACUCCGUG